GACUCGUCACACUAUCAUUAACUGAAUCCAUAGGUUAAUGAGGCGAACCGGGGGAACUGAAACAUCUAAGUACCCCGAGGAAAAGAAAUCAACCGAGAUUCCCCCAGUAGCGGCGAGCGAACGGGGAGGAGCCCAGAGCCUGAAUCAGCAUGUGUGUUAGUGGAAGCGUCUGGAAAGGCGCGCGAUACAGGGUGACAGCCCCGUACACAAAAGCGCAUGUGCUGUGAGCUCGAUGAGUAGGGCGGGACACGUGGUAUCCUGUCUGAAUAUGGGGGGACCAUCCUCCAAGGCUAAAUACUCCUGACUGACCGAUAGUGAACCAGUACCGUGAGGGAAAGGCGAAAAGAACCCCGGCGAGGGGAGUGAAAAAGAACCUGAAACCGUGUACGUACAAGCAGUGGGAGCCCCACCACUAAGCCAGUGGUGAACUCCACAUACGCAUCCUUUGCUGAGGAUACGGUUAACGGAGCGAAAGCGACGUUCAACCGCAAAAGAAGCAGAGGGGGCUUAGUGGUGGGGUGACUGCGUACCUUUUGUAUAAUGGGUCAGCGACUUAUAUUCUGUAGCAAGGUUAACCGAAUAGGGGAGCCGGAGGGAAACCGAGUCUUAAUUGGGCGUUAAGUUGCAGGGUAUAGACCCGAAACCCGGUGAUCUAGCCAUGGGCAGGUUGAAGGUUGGGUAACACUAACUGGAGGACCGAACCGACUAAUGUUGAAAAAUUAGCGGAUGACCUGUGGCUGGGGGUGAAAGGCCAAUCAAACCGGGAGAUAGCUGGUUCUCCCCGAAAGCUAUUUAGGUAGCGCCUCGUGAAUUCAUCUCCGGGGGUAGAGCACUGUUUCGGCUAGGGGGCCAUCCCGGCUUACCAACCCGAUGCAAACUGCGAAUACCGGAGAAUGUUAUCACGGGAGACACACGGCGGGUGCUAACGUCCGUCGUGAAGAGGGAAACAACCCAGACCGCCAGCUAAGGUCCCAAAGUCAUGGUUAAGUGGGAAACGAUGUGGGAAGGCCCAGACAGCCAGGAUGUUGGCUUAGAAGCAGCCAUCAUUUAAAGAAAGCGUAAUAGCUCACUGGUCGAGUCGGCCUGCGCGGAAGAUGUAACGGGGCUAAACCAUGCACCGAAGCUGCGGCAGCGACGCUGAUGCGUUGUUGGGUAGGGGAGCGUUCUGUAAGCCUGCGAAGGUGACCUGUGAGGGUUGCUGGAGGUAUCAGAAGUGCGAAUGCUGACAUAAGUAACGAUAAAGCGGGUGAAAAGCCCGCUCGCCGGAAGACCAAGGGUUCCUGUCCAACGUUAAUCGGGGCAGGGUGAGUCGACCCCUAAGGCGAGGCCGAAAGGCGUAGUCGAUGGGAAACGGGUUAAUAUUCCCGUACUUGGUGUUACUGCGAAGGGGGGACGGAGAAGGCUAUGUUGGCCGGGCGACGGUUGUCCCGGUUUAAGCGUGUAGGUGUGUGUUCCAGGUAAAUCCGGUUCACUUUAACACUGAGGCGUGAUGACGAGGCACUACGGUGCUGAAGCAACAAAUGCCCUGCUUCCAGGAAAAGCCUCUAAGCAUCAGGUAACAUCAAAUCGUACCCCAAACCGACACAGGUGGUCAGGUAGAGAAUACCAAGGCGCUUGAGAGAACUCGGGUGAAGGAACUAGGCAAAAUGGUGCCGUAACUUCGGGAGAAGGCACGCUGACACGUAGGUGAAGUGAUUUACUCAUGGAGCUGAAGUCAGUCGAAGAUACCAGCUGGCUGCAACUGUUUAUUAAAAACACAGCACUGUGCAAACACGAAAGUGGACGUAUACGGUGUGACGCCUGCCCGGUGCCGGAAGGUUAAUUGAUGGGGUCAGCGCAAGCGAAGCUCCUGAUCGAAGCCCCGGUAAACGGCGGCCGUAACUAUAACGGUCCUAAGGUAGCGAAAUUCCUUGUCGGGUAAGUUCCGACCUGCACGAAUGGCGUAAUGAUGGCCAGGCUGUCUCCACCCGAGACUCAGUGAAAUUGAACUCGCUGUGAAGAUGCAGUGUACCCGCGGCAAGACGGAAAGACCCCGUGAACCUUUACUAUAGCUUGACACUGAACAUUGAGCCUUGAUGUGUAGGAUAGGUGGGAGGCUUUGAAGUGUGGACGCCAGUCUGCAUGGAGCCGACCUUGAAAUACCACCCUUUAAUGUUUGAUGUUCUAACGUGGACCCGUUACCCGGGUUGCGGACAGUGUCUGGUGGGUAGUUUGACUGGGGCGGUCUCCUCCUAAAGAGUAACGGAGGAGCACGAAGGUUGGCUAAUCCUGGUCGGACAUCAGGAGGUUAGUGCAAUGGCAUAAGCCAGCUUGACUGCGAGCGUGACGGCGCGAGCAGGUGCGAAAGCAGGUCAUAGUGAUCCGGUGGUUCUGAAUGGAAGGGCCAUCGCUCAACGGAUAAAAGGUACUCCGGGGAUAACAGGCUGAUACCGCCCAAGAGUUCAUAUCGACGGCGGUGUUUGGCACCUCGAUGUCGGCUCAUCACAUCCUGGGGCUGAAGUAGGUCCCAAGGGUAUGGCUGUUCGCCAUUUAAAGUGGUACGCGAGCUGGGUUUAGAACGUCGUGAGACAGUUCGGUCCCUAUCUGCCGUGGGCGCUGGAGAACUGAGGGGGGCUGCUCCUAGUACGAGAGGACCGGAGUGGACGCAUCACUGGUGUUCGGGUUGUCAUGCCAAUGGCACUGCCCGGUAGCUAAAUGCGGAAGAGAUAAGUGCUGAAAGCAUCUAAGCACGAAACUUGCCCCGAG
rnacentral:rRNA from 1 species